UUUAAAUUUAAAUUUUAAUCCAAAAGCAAAUUUUAAAUUUUAAAUUUAAAUCUUAAAUUCAAAAUCUUGCUUUGAAUUUAUAAUUUAAUUCAAAAUAUAAUGUAAAUUUAAAAUUUAAAAUUAUAAUAUAAAAAUUAAAAUUAAAAUUAAAUUUAAAUUUAAAUUGUAUAAUUAGCUGGUGUUGAUACAGCACAACCAUGGCGUGAGAUAGUACUGGGGUGGUACUUUCUGUCAAUUUUAACACCUUUGUAACGGCUGUGACUUAAUUAUGAUGAA
rnacentral:lncRNA from 1 species